rnacentral:rRNA from 1 species
UACGUAGGCAGCAAGCGUUGUUCGGAAUUACUGGGCGUAAAGGGCUCGUAGGCGGCCAACUAAGUCAGACGUGAAAUCCCUCGGCUUAACCGGGGAACUGCGUCUGAUACUGGAUGGCUUGAGAUUGGGAGAGGGAUGCGGAAUUCCAGGUGUAGCGGUGAAAUGCGUAGAUAUCUGGAGGAACACCGGUGGCGAAGGCGGCAUCCUGGACCAACACUGACGCUGAGUGAGCGAAAGCCAGGGGAGCAAACGGG